rnacentral:rRNA from 1 species
UACGUAGGGUCCGAGCGUUGUCCGGAAUUACUGGGCGUAAAGAGCUCGUAGGUGGUUUGUCGCGUUGUUCGUGAAAACUCACAGCUCAACUGUGGGCGUGCGGGCGAUACGGGCAGACUGGAGUACUGCAGGGGAGACUGGAAUUCCUGGUGUAGCGGUGGAAUGCGCAGAUAUCAGGAGGAACACCGGUGGCGAAGGCGGGUCUCUGGGCCGAUACUGACGCUGGAGGAGCGAAAGCGUGGGGAGCGAACAGG